ACAACAGACAAUGGUCCAAGAUCAGACUGUUCAUCUUCCUCCUCUGGGAAGUUAAAGAGAGCAAGAGGACAAGAAUCUGUUUGACCCAAGAAUGACAUUCAAAUGGGAAAAGAAAUGUAGAAAGUCAAAUGCAUCCACUGCAUCAACUGCAUGGGGAAGAGAUCCAUUCUAGAAGUCAUCAGAACAUGGGUGAACAAUAUUUUCAUCAGAUUUGGAGGUCAGACUGGGAGAAGUUACUUAGCUAAUGUAGAAUAUUGU
rnacentral:lncRNA from 11 species